rnacentral:ncRNA from 22 species
AGCGCGACACAAGAUGUAUGCUCGUGCUCGCUGUCGCCGCAGGGGAAUCCGGUGCGAAUCCGGAACUGUCCCGCAACGGUGUACGUGUGCGCUUUUGCGUACCCGUGAGUCCGAUGACCUGCCGACGGCCGUCUGCAUACG